rnacentral:rRNA from 1 species
UGGGGAAUAUUGGACAAUGGGCGCGAGCCUGAUCCAGCCAUGCCGCGUGAGUGACGAAGGCCUUAGGGUUGUAAAGCUCUUUUGGCGGGGAAGAUAAUGACGGUACCCGCAGAAUAAGCUCCGGCUAACUUCGUGCCAGCAGCCGCGGUAAUACGAAGGGAGCUAGCGUUGUUCGGAAUCACUGGGCGUAAAGCGCACGUAGGCGGACUUUCAAGUCAGGGGUGAAAUCCCGGGGCUCAACCUCGGAACUGCCUUUGAUACUGUUGGUCUCGAGUCCGGAAGAGGUGAGUGGAAUUCCUAGUGUAGAGGUGAAAUUCGUAGAUAUUAGGAAGAACACCGGUGGCGAAGGCGGCUCACUGGUCCGGUACUGACGCUGAGGUGCGAAAGCGCGGGGAGCAAACA